rnacentral:rRNA from 1 species
AUGGCCGGCGUCCUCGCGCGCUACCGCCGCUCCCUCGUCGAGCGCACCAAGCACCACCUCGGCUACCCAUACAAUCUGGACUUUGAGUACGGUGCUCUCUCCCAGCUGCAGCACUUCUCCAUUAACAACCUGGGCGACCCAUUCAUCGAGAGCAACUAUGGCGUGCACUCCAGGCAGUUUGAAGUGGGUGUGUUGGAUUGGUUUGCUCGCCUUUGGGACCUCGAAAAGGAUGAAUAUUGGGGAUACAUUACGAACUGUGGCACCGAAGGAAAUCUGCAUGGGAUCCUUGUCGGAAGGGAAGUUUUCCCUGAUGGGAUCUUGUAUGCCUCUCGUGAUUCACACUACUCGGUGUUCAAAGCAGCGAGAAUGUACAGGAUGGAUUGCGUUAAAGUGGAUACUCUUGUCUCUGGAGAAAUAGAUUGUGCAGAUUUUGGAAGAAAGCUACUUGAAAACAAAGAUAAACCUGCUAUUAUUAAUGUCAACAUUGGGACAACUGUCAAGGGAGCAGUUGAUGAUCUUGACUUGGUUAUCGAAACACUUGAAAAAAGUGGGUUCAAGGAUCGGUUUUAUAUACACUGUGACGGUGCUCUGUUUGGUCUGAUGAUGCCAUUUGUUAAGCAGGCACCUAGGGUAUCCUUUAAGAAGCCCAUUGGGAGUGUGAGCGUGUCUGGUCACAAGUUUGUUGGAUGUCCCAUGCCCUGUGGUGUCCAGAUAACAAGGAAAGGUUAUAGAGGUUUUCAGAAGGAAGUUCAGAAGUGCUUGAGAAAUGCACAUUACCUGAAAGAUCGGCUCAAGGAUGCUGGAAUUAGUGCGAUGCUUAACGAGCUCAGUAGUACAGUAGUUUUUGAGAGGCCAAAGGACGAGGAGUUUGUGCGACGGUGGCAGCUUGCUUGUGAGGGAGGUAUAUCACAUGUUGUGGUAAUGCCCAGCGUCAAUGUUGAUAAGCUGGAUACUUUCUUAAAUGAGUUGGUGGAGAAGCGGGUAACCUGGUACCAGGAAGGAAAAUGCCAAUCUCCUUGCAUUGCAGCUGAUGUAGGCCAGGAGAACUGUCUUUGUACUCUGCACAAGUCAUAA